AUGCUCACCUGGUAUACGAUACAGGGCAGAUGCCGUGGUCUUGAAAGUUAUUCCUCAGGGUGAGUUUUAUCCAUUGCCUUUUGGAUAUGCUGAUCCCUGUGAUUUCCUCAAAUGUGCAAAUCUUAAUUGCAAGAUUUGUGGUAGCAAAGAGUCCGUGUCCAUGUUUUCC
rnacentral:snRNA from 1 species